CUGGAGAUUAGACAGGAAAUGGUGCAGUAAGAGAAAGAAGCCCCACUCCUCACCCAUUUUUCUUUUCCUCUUCCCUUUAGGGAUAGGCACAACAAAGAGAUGGAAAAACUAAGGUCCAAGAGAUGGUUCUCCACUUGGCAGGGAGGGAAAUCAGGCUAGCUUUGAGUCCUAAUGGCAUAGCAGUGAACCACUAGCAAGCUCAGUGACCUUUGACAAGGCAAUUCACCUUGCUGGGUUUUAGUUUCCUCAACUGUAAAAUGAGGAAGUUCGGCUAGAUGCUCUCACAACAUCUGAUUCUCUGC
rnacentral:lncRNA from 1 species